AAUCGCUUGAACCACCGUUCAAAUGGCAGUCUGAGCCAUAACAACAAUAUUUGUGUCAGUAAUGUUGAUGAGAUGUUGUGUUUUGCAACUUGUUACAGGCUGUUGGCGGUGUGGUGGACCAGCCUUCUACCUCCAGCAUAUCCUUGGUCCUCACCAGUCCACAUCCAAGGCCUCACCAAUCCAAUAAAUCCCCAAGGAAGUCCUUAUCUGGCAGUUACCUUGCUUUCCCUGUGAUCAGGGAGAGGCUCUCACUAUCUCCAGAUGAUUGUGAAACUGAGAUGCUUCAAAUGGACACAAGCAUUUCCUCAGUCAUUGAGGAUGACCCAGAAGACAUGAGCUUCAGCCUCAGUCAACAGUCAAGUUCAAGUGAAACCUCCAGUUCAAGUGCCUCAGAAGAGCAAGGGGAGUGGGAUGAAAGAAAAUGGAUUGUGAACGAGUCUAGCAUCAUGCAACUGUUUAGAACAUGCCAUAUAUGUGCCGCACAAAUCACUAAUAAAAAAGUGACAACUACAGGCAGCCAACUAAAGAUUGAAUGGACAUGUUUGAAUAAUCAUCAUGGCAAGUGGGCAUCAUGUCCUGAUGCAAGAGGAAUGGCACAGAAUAACUUGCUUGUUUCUGCUGCUACGCUUUUCUCUGGAACAACUUUCACUGAAGUACACGAGUGGGCCAGCAUCCUAAACUUGCAACUCUUGAAGAAAUCGCAGUACUACUCCAUCCAAUCCGACUACCUUAUUCCAGUAGUACACUUUGCAUACAAGGAUCAUCAUGAGAAUCUCAUUAGGCGACUUAUUAGACAAAAGGCUGAAGGCGAGUCCAUAGAGCUGUGUGGAGAUGCCAGGUCUGACUCACCAGGCUACAGCUGCAAGUAUUCCACCUAUUCGUUUCAGCU